rnacentral:sRNA from 1 species
AAGCUCCUGAUGUUGUGUUAAGUGUUGGCAGAUAUCUGGAGCGCGCCCUAGCGUUCCAGUACUUGAACCCCGAACUUCUUCCCCCAAUACGAAGUCCGGGGUUUUUUUUGCCUGGAA